AUGUUAGAUUCAGAAAAAUCAACUGCAAUGUUGGGACCUUCAGGGCUGACCCAAGAUCACAGGUACACAACACAGGACUCUACCCCUGAAAAUAUCUGCAGCACCUUUUCAUCAGAUAAAGUCACUAACAGAGGGUUCCAGAUAUUCCAACAGGUUGCUCCUGCCCCAUGUAGGAUGAACUGGAUUCAGGUAGGAGGAGAAACUUCAACAUCUGAAGAAGAUUCCAAAUAUAUCUUCUCAGAAAGCAAGCACAUUCCUACUGAUGAGCAUGCUAAAACACCCGAUUUCCAGAAGUGGAAAGGCGUUGCUAUUGAAAAAUACGAGCUAGAAGCAGCCAGGACUCAGGCAGCAGGACAAAAUUCAUCUGAUUCAAAAUAUUUCAGCUGUCUAUCCACUACCACUAAACUCCUUCCUACUGAGGAGCAUGGUAAGACUGGAUGCAAAAGUGAGGUUGAGCUCAGGCAGGAGAUAUACCUGAGGUGCUAGUCCAACUCUAGCUCACUUCUCUAUUCUUUUGAAUAUGGGGGAAAGGAUUCAGGGCAGAGGCACUGACAACUAAGACCUCUUGGGAGGAGCAAAUAGAGAUGGUAUUUCAAAA
rnacentral:lncRNA from 1 species